CAGACCACGAUUCUGCUAAAGCUGCCGGACAGGACAGAAGAAAAAAAAAACAAGCCGUUUAAUGAGUCUUUGUAUUCUGACUUCCAGUUAUGAUACCACUGUUGGCUUUGCUUGUGUGAACAGCAAAAACAAGCAGUGUCUGGAUUACAAAGUUCGCUUUCAAUGUCCUCCUUCAUUUUGUCCAGCAUAAAAUCACAUUAAGUACAACUGUAGACCAGCGGAUGGAGAUUUGGAGGAUUGAGGUCAAUGUCGUGUUUUCAUUUUUAUUCUGUUUCAACUUUAAUGACUUAUUGUUUCAGAAAAUUUCAUGUAGUUGUGCUUUGGAAAUGAUUAAUUGUGAAACAAUAUAAAAAACUUAAUACAAUUUUUUGCGUUUGUGGGUUUAAAUGAAACGUCAAACAUUUUCAAACUGUAUUUUUGAUGCUUAUUAUUCUAUCCAUCUUUCAACAAUACCCUGGUCAGGGGUGGUGGGGGCCUUCAGCUGCACAGGGUACAAGGCUGGUACAAGCACACAGUUAUAGUACAAGCACACAGUUAUAGUACAAGCACACAGUUAUGGUACAAGCAGGCAAAACAAGUACAGAUGUCAGUGUAAGGACUGACCUCAUAUACCAGUUUCUUCAAAUCAAGGAAUUUCAUUUAUAUUUAGUGUAUACAUCACAAUGUGAUCCAAAUAAAAAGUCAUGAAUUA